rnacentral:snoRNA from 1 species
UGGAAACGAUUAAGAUAUCCGCGCUUAUGAUGCUUCAUGCAAUGAAGCAAAUUAAUAGAUGGUUGAAUUUCUUGAAGUGAGCCA